rnacentral:rRNA from 1 species
GACGACGCUGGCGGCGUGCUUAACACAUGCAAGUCGAGCGAGCGGCGGACGGGUGAGUAAUGUAUGGGGAUCUGCCCGAUAGAUGGGGAUAACUACUGGAAACGGUGGCUAAUACCGCAUACUUGCGGAUUAACCCAUAUGGGAUUAGCUAGUAGGUGGGGUAAAGGCUCACCUAGGCGACGAUCACUAGCUGGUCUGAGAGGAUGAUCAGCCACACUGGAACUGAGACACGGCCCAGACUCCUACGGGAGGCAGCAGUGGGGAAUAUUGCGCAAUGGGCACAAGCCUGAUGCAGCCAUGCCGCGUGUAUGAAGAAGGCCUUAGGAUUGUAAAGUACUUUCAGCGGGGAAGCGUUACCCGCAGAGGAAGCACCGGCUAACUCCGUGCCAGCAGCCGCGGUAAUUC